UGUAUGUGUGUUCAAUGAUGGAGUGUGU
rnacentral:piRNA from 1 species